rnacentral:piRNA from 1 species
UCAACUGUCAGGCUAUUGAUGAAUUGUGU